AAGAUUGGCCGAAAGGCCUUAUCAUUAUAUCCCUCACCUCUGUGAACUGUGGACCCUCGGGUCUAUUUUACAAACAUCAGUGUAAUGAACGUAUAUAACAUUAACAAAACA
rnacentral:misc_RNA from 1 species